rnacentral:misc_RNA from 1 species
GUGAAUGAAUUCGCUUGGACAGUUAAAUUUUAUGCUGACAUAGGUUGUACCCUCUGGUUUCUUUUCAUUUCAGAAAGUUAUGGUUGCUUUCUUCUUCUGCUGCCUUGUUCACCUCAUAGUUGUCCCUUGCCAUGAUUGACAAAGAUUUCAUCCCUCGCCCUCACACAUCAAAUUUAAAAUCAUUGUUGAAUCAAAUCACAC